UACGUAGGGUGCGAGCGUUGUCCGGAAUUAUUGGGCGUAAAGGGCUCGUAGGCGGUUUGUCGCGUCGGGAGUGAAAACACCGGGCUUAACUCGGUGCUUGCUUUCGAUACGGGCAGACUAGAGGUAUUCAGGGGAGAACGGAAUUCCUGGUGUAGCGGUGAAAUGCGCAGAUAUCAGGAGGAACACCGGUGGUGAAGGCGGUUCUCUGGGAAUAUCCUGACGCUGAGGAGCGAAAGUGUGGGGAGCGAACAGG
rnacentral:rRNA from 1 species